rnacentral:rRNA from 1 species
GGGUUGUGAGGUUAAGCGACUAAGCGUACACGGUGGAUGCCCUGGCAGUCAGAGGCGAUGAAGGACGUGCUAAUCUGCGAUAAGCGUCGGUAAGGUGAUAUGAACCGUUAUAACCGGCGAUUUCCGAAUGGGGAAACCCAGUGUGUUUCGACACACUAUCAUUAACUGAAUCCAUAGGUUAAUGAGGCGAACCGGGGGAACUGAAACAUCUAAGUACCCCGAGGAAAAGAAAUCAACCGAGAUUCCCCCAGUAGCGGCGAGCGAACGGGGAGCAGCCCAGAGCCUGAAUCAGUGUGUGUGUUAGUGGAAGCGUCUGGAAAGGCGCGCGAUACAGGGUGACAGCCCCGUACACAAAAAUGCACAUGCUGUGAGCUCGAUGAGUAGGGCGGGACACGUGGUAUCCUGUCUGAAUAUGGGGGGACCAUCCUCCAAGGCUAAAUACUCCUGACUGACCGAUAGUGAACCAGUACCGUGAGGGAAAGGCGAAAAGAACCCCGGCGAGGGGAGUGAAAAAGAACCUGAAACCGUGUACGUACAAGCAGUGGGAGCACGCUUAGGCGUGUGACUGCGUACCUUUUGUAUAAUGGGUCAGCGACUUAUAUUCUGUAGCAAGGUUAACCGAAUAGGGGAGCCGAAGGGAAACCGAGUCUUAACUGGGCGUUAAGUUGCAGGGUAUAGACCCGAAACCCGGUGAUCUAGCCAUGGGCAGGUUGAAGGUUGGGUAACACUAACUGGAGGACCGAACCGACUAAUGUUGAAAAAUUAGCGGAUGACUUGUGGCUGGGGGUGAAAGGCCAAUCAAACCGGGAGAUAGCUGGUUCUCCCCGAAAGCUAUUUAGGUAGCGCCUCGUGAAUUCAUCUCCGGGGGUAGAGCACUGUUUCGGCAAGGGGGUCAUCCCGACUUACCAACCCGAUGCAAACUGCGAAUACCGGAGAAUGUUAUCACGGGAGACACACGGCGGGUGCUAACGUCCGUCGUGAAGAGGGAAACAACCCAGACCGCCAGCUAAGGUCCCAAAGUCAUGGUUAAGUGGGAAACGAUGUGGGAAGGCCCAGACAGCCAGGAUGUUGGCUUAGAAGCAGCCAUCAUUUAAAGAAAGCGUAAUAGCUCACUGGUCGAGUCGGCCUGCGCGGAAGAUGUAACGGGGCUAAACCAUGCACCGAAGCUGCGGCAGCGACGCUUAUGCGUUGUUGGGUAGGGGAGCGUUCUGUAAGCCUGCGAAGGUGUGCUGUGAGGCAUGCUGGAGGUAUCAGAAGUGCGAAUGCUGACAUAAGUAACGAUAAAGCGGGUGAAAAGCCCGCUCGCCGGAAGACCAAGGGUUCCUGUCCAACGUUAAUCGGGGCAGGGUGAGUCGACCCCUAAGGCGAGGCCGAAAGGCGUAGUCGAUGGGAAACAGGUUAAUAUUCCUGUACUUGGUGUUACUGCGAAGGGGGGACGGAGAAGGCUAUGUUGGCCGGGCGACGGUUGUCCCGGUUUAAGCGUGUAGGCUGGUUUUCCAGGCAAAUCCGGAAAAUCAAGGCUGAGGCGUGAUGACGAGGCACUACGGUGCUGAAGCAACAAAUGCCCUGCUUCCAGGAAAAGCCUCUAAGCAUCAGGUAACAUCAAAUCGUACCCCAAACCGACACAGGUGGUCAGGUAGAGAAUACCAAGGCGCUUGAGAGAACUCGGGUGAAGGAACUAGGCAAAAUGGUGCCGUAACUUCGGGAGAAGGCACGCUGAUAUGUAGGUGAAGUCCCUCGCGGAUGGAGCUGAAAUCAGUCGAAGAUACCAGCUGGCUGCAACUGUUUAUUAAAAACACAGCACUGUGCAAACACGAAAGUGGACGUAUACGGUGUGACGCCUGCCCGGUGCCGGAAGGUUAAUUGAUGGGGUCAGCGCAAGCGAAGCUCUUGAUCGAAGCCCCGGUAAACGGCGGCCGUAACUAUAACGGUCCUAAGGUAGCGAAAUUCCUUGUCGGGUAAGUUCCGACCUGCACGAAUGGCGUAAUGAUGGCCAGGCUGUCUCCACCCGAGACUCAGUGAAAUUGAACUCGCUGUGAAGAUGCAGUGUACCCGCGGCAAGACGGAAAGACCCCGUGAACCUUUACUAUAGCUUGACACUGAACAUUGAGCCUUGAUGUGUAGGAUAGGUGGGAGGCUUUGAAGUGUGGACGCCAGUCUGCAUGGAGCCGACCUUGAAAUACCACCCUUUAAUGUUUGAUGUUCUAACGUGGACCCGUAAUCCGGGUUGCGGACAGUGUCUGGUGGGUAGUUUGACUGGGGCGGUCUCCUCCUAAAGAGUAACGGAGGAGCACGAAGGUUGGCUAAUCCUGGUCGGACAUCAGGAGGUUAGUGCAAUGGCAUAAGCCAGCUUGACUGCGAGCGUGACGGCGCGAGCAGGUGCGAAAGCAGGUCAUAGUGAUCCGGUGGUUCUGAAUGGAAGGGCCAUCGCUCAACGGAUAAAAGGUACUCCGGGGAUAACAGGCUGAUACCGCCCAAGAGUUCAUAUCGACGGCGGUGUUUGGCACCUCGAUGUCGGCUCAUCACAUCCUGGGGCUGAAGUAGGUCCCAAGGGUAUGGCUGUUCGCCAUUUAAAGUGGUACGCGAGCUGGGUUUAGAACGUCGUGAGACAGUUCGGUCCCUAUCUGCCGUGGGCGCUGGAGAACUGAGGGGGGCUGCUCCUAGUACGAGAGGACCGGAGUGGACGCAUCACUGGUGUUCGGGUUGUCAUGCCAAUGGCACUGCCCGGUAGCUAAAUGCGGAAGAGAUAAGUGCUGAAAGCAUCUAAGCACGAAACUUGCCCCGAGAUGAGUUCUCCCUGACUCCUUGAGAGUCCUGAAGGAACGUUGAAGACGACGACGUUGAUAGGCCGGAUGUGUAAGCGCAGCGAUGCGUUGAGCUAACCGGUACUAAUGAACCGUGAGGCUUAACCUUACAACGCCGAAGGUGUUU